CCCUUAGAUGUUCUGGGCCGCACGCGCGCUACACUGAACAGUUCAACAAGUCUUAACCUUGGCCGAUAGGUCUGGGUAAUCUUUGAACGCUGUUCGUGAUUGGGAUAGACCUUUGCAAUUAUGGGUCUUCAACGAGGAAUUCCUAGUAAACGCAAGUCAUCAGCUUGCAUUGAUUACGUCCCUGCCCUUUGUACACACCGCCCGUCGCACCUACCGAUUGAAUGGCCCGGUGAAAUCUCGGGACGGCGGCUUGGUCGCUUGCGUCCGACUGCUGAAACUUGAUUAAACCAUAUCAUUUAGAGGAAGGUGAAGUCGUAACA
rnacentral:rRNA from 1 species